UGACUGCUAGAGUUGGCAUUACUGGCACAAAGUGUUGGUCGCGUAGCAAACGAGAACCUGAUUUUUUCGCCUUCAUAAAUUGCUGUGUUUUCACAAAGUUCGCUCGCUUCCAGUGAAUAAUUUUUCAACGUGGAAACGAUUAAAAAAUCUGAAAAUUAUAAUGAGUGCUCAGCCUAGUCCCGCCUGCAUGACUCCAUCAACCGAACAGGAAAGGGCUAAUGUUAUGUACUCGGUUGGCUUGAUGGCUGCUUAGUUGCGCGAUGACGGACGACAAGGUCGUACAUUGGCCCACAACAAUCACUUGACAUACUGCAUACAUAUGUAUGUAUGUAUAUCAGCUCACACAAAAUGAAAACUAUUCGCGACCACACAAAAAAAAAAAACUGAAAAACCACAUCGAACCACAAUCAACAACGCAAUGCAAGUACAUACGAGAACAUAUCAAUAUAGCUAGUUCAUAUACUUACGCGUGUUCUCGCUUUGCAUGUGGAACGGCAAUGAUAAAUACAUAAAUUGAAGUCCAUAUUCUAACGAAAGUUGCGUUGGGGUUGCAAUUUUGUUAUUAUAAUUAAAAGGGUAACUAUUAGAUAAUUAAAAAUAAAUAGAAUAUUGCUCUGUAAUAAUCAAUUUAGGCUUGGUUUGACGGCAUACCUAGAUGAUGUAUGAUUUUUAUGAAUUAAAGAAGCGACUUUAAAAUAACUCUUGCAAAGGCCUUCUGAAAUACAUCCUAUAAAAGCCCUUCUGGAAGGUCUUCUAUCGAUAGCGAAAGAAGAAGCCCUUUAAUUUGGGCCAAUCCAGGCAAAAAAGAAAGUAGAAAACAAUGGGUAGUUUUUUUUUUAAAAUAAAAUUUAAGGCUAGUUCGGAACGAUAGGAGGCAGAUUUAUGUUUAUCUAUCUUCUAUCUAUCCAUAUAUAUAAAUGUGAAUGUCUGUUUGUUUAUUACCUUAUAACUUUUGAACCACGACAUGG